UGUAAUUUUAAGCUCAACUGGCCCACAGGGCCAAGUGAACUUUUCUCGUCAUUUUGCGUCCGUCGUCUGUAGUCCAUCGUUUUUCGUCCGUCGUCCGUCGUCCGUCGUCGUCGUCCGUUUACUUUCACAAAAAUCUUCUCCUCUGAAACUACUGGGCCAAAUUUAACCAUACUUGGCCACAAUCAUUAUUGGGACAUCUAGUUUAAAAAAUGUGUCCGAUGACCCCGCCCACCAACCAAGAUGGCCUACAUGGCUAAAAAUGAUACAUAGUGGUAAAAUGCAGUUUUUGGCUUAUAUCUCUGAAUCCAAAGCAUUUAGAGCAAGUCUGACUCGGAGUAAAAUUGUUCAUCAGGUCAACAUCUAUCUGCUCUCUGGGUUGCUGAGCCUGAAUUGGUAAUCAGUCAGUCUGUAUUAUUUGUUUCAAAAUUUUAGCAACGAAGGUAAUGUUGCAGCAUUUGAGACAUGUAUCUGUUUUAUUCUGAACUCUUAUCAGUUGGCUCCAUUUUCAGUUUAAAACAAGUAUCAUUCAAAUUUCCAAUGACUUAGUUGUUGCAUUACAGGAGAUAUGGACAGCAAAUGAAGAAAAAAGACAAAACUCAUUUAUUGAAAACAAAAUGUGUCAAUAUAAAUAUUGAGUCUCUAGAC
rnacentral:lncRNA from 1 species